AGAGUUUGAUCCUGGCUCAGAUUGAACGCUGGCGGCAGGCCUAACACAUGCAAGUCGAACGGUAACAUUUCUAGCUUGCUAGAAGAUGACGAGUGGCGGACGGGUGAGUAAUGCUUGGGAACUUGCCUUCGGGAGGGGGAUAACAGUUGGAAACGACUGCUAAUACCGCAUAAUGUCUACGGACCAAAGCGGGCUUUUAGCUCGCACCUGAAGAGAGGCCCAAGUGAGAUUAGCUAGUUGGUAAGGUAAAGGCUUACCAAGGCAACGAUCUCUAGCUGUUCUGAGAGGAAGAUCAGCCACACUGGGACUGAGACACGGCCCAGACUCCUACGGGAGGCAGCAGUGGGGAAUAUUGCACAAUGGGGGAAACCCUGAUGCAGCCAUGCCGCGUGUGUGAAGAAGGCCUUCGGGUUGUAAAGCACUUUCAGUUGUGAGGAAAGGUUGGUAGUUAAUACCUGCCAGCUGUGACGUUAACAACAGAAGAAGCACCGGCUAACUCCGUGCCAGCAGCCGCGGUAAUAC
rnacentral:rRNA from 1 species